UGUACCGGCAGCGAUAUAUUGUUGAUUCUCUUUCUUCUGACGAAUGGACUUAUUGUAAGUCGCUUUGGAUAAAAGCGUCUGAUAAACGCCCUACAUGUAAAUGAUGAGGCCAUGGACCCGGUUAACAGGGACAUAUCAUAUCCGAUGACAUCAGAGUCGGGUGACAUUACGGUCAGUUCAUGGCAGGUCAUGGUUAGGUCACAGGUUAGUUCUGUUUGUCCUGUUCACAGGAGAUGGACUCACGCUGUUAAACUCCGGGCAGUAACUGAGAAUAGCUCGGCAGUAACGUAAAACAAAUGAAGGAAGUGAACCGCAUGGCGAGAAGCCGCCGAGGAGGGAGGAGGAAGAAGGUAAAUAAAGAGGACAAUAACCAUCGGUUACGGAGGUUUAGAGAGACGUUGUCUGGGCGAGCUCCCUCUCACGGGAGAGAGCCAUGAUGCAUCAUGGGAAAUUCAAUUUAUUCUCCUGCUAUCUCCUUUAAAAAAGAAGGGAGGACUCUUUUCAUGUUCUAAAUAGAGGGCAGAUAGGGCUCCCCUGGGCUGGAAGCACAUCUACCUGAAUCUGUAUUAUGGGAUGGCUCCCGUCUCCCAUCUAUUCCCUUCUGUUCUUGCAGGUUUUGUGUUGUUGAACGCAGACUACUUUGAGGUUUUUUUCAGGAGCUUCAUAAAUCAUGCUUAUUAUUUCAAGAGCACUCCUUCCUCUGCGGUACACUAGCAGCUUUCAUCGGGUGCGUUCAUACGAUCAAUAAGGCGAUAUCCUCAUCGCCGUGCGGCUCUGCUCAUCAUUACUCAUCUUCCGGUCGGCCCGUGUGUGUCGGCCGCAGGUCACAUCCAUGCUCGGAACAAAGCCAAUUAAUCAGAGGGUUUUAAGCUGCUUAAUGAACAAGUGUGUGGAUGUCAGGCUCGGUUUAGGGGACAAGACCGCAUGGCUUUGAGGAGCACAGGAAGAGAGAGAGGAGUCAGGCUGAGUCGUUGUGCCAGGACCACGGGUGGAGGAUGGAUUUGAGGAGAAGUGAUUCUGGACAGGAGAAGCUAAAUCGCUGCAGCGGAGCGUCUGGAACGACGGCGGUUUCAAACGAGAGCCGCUCGCCUAAUUGAAAGGCAGCUGGAGCCUCCGCACACUAAACGCUCUUUUCUCAUUCAGCGAUUAGGAUAUUGAAUAAUUGAUCAUAUGUACGUACGGCCCAGAUGAAAGGUUGGGGGGGGGUGUACAACGGGAGACGGAUUAAUCAACGCUUUUGAACCAAUAAAGGACUUUGGAAUGACUUUUUCUCAACCGAAAUGUUACACAAUUUAUUAAAUUAAAGAUGGGGGCGGACUACCAGGCUUACGUAUCUCUCACUCGCUCCACCCUCUCUGCCAAUUAUUGUAUCUGGUGACUCAUUUGAUAAAAUGGAAAUCAAAGUGUAUCUCAUUAAAGACCGAGUCUAAUUCCUCCUCAAGAUGAGCACAGACAUUUGCACUACAACACAUUCAAUCGGGUGAGAAGAUCAUAAGAUCAAACACAAACACCAGUUUUCUUGGACUUCGUAGGGAUAUAUUGUUGCGUUGUGCAUACUGUGGUUGCACUUUAAUUUGAUCCCCUGUCUGGACUUCCUCUAUAUUUUAUUGUUGUUGUUGCUGUCUGUCUGUAAUUGUGUUUAUGUUUUGUCAUGUGAGCCUGGCUGCAAACCCAUCCCACCUCUUAAGGGACGAUGGUUAACUUGAACUUGUGUUUGACCUCUGUGAUGUUUCUCCAUGUAAAGCUGAAAUACAGCAUUUGGCAUACAUUAUUAAACAGAUGAAUGAUUCAGAUAUGAGCAUCCAAGCAAGUGGAAAAUGUAUUUUGAUGUUGAAUAUAUCCAUAGGGGCCCUGAAGCCAUAGACCUAUAAACUAGAGAACGCAUUGACUACUUGGUCCUGUUGCCUAGUUACGUUAACGGCACCGCCAUAUUGGAGAGGUCAAGACCGGUCUGGAAACACAAAUUCAACAGGGGAGCUCUGGCUUAUCUGGAUGUAGAGUCUAUAACGUUCACAUUUCUCCACCUAUUUCAUCUUUACAUCUCCAAUAUGGCGUUUUGUACUGGUUUGUACUGGCCAAUGUCUAUGAAUAAACGUCUAUGGCUCGAGCCUCUCUUACUCCAAGAACAAACCACUGAACCAGCACAGCUGCAGCUCAUUGGCCAAUCAUCCCAGCUCCUCCCUCCAUCCCAGUACAUGACGCUUUGGGCCCAAAGAGAGGCAGAGGAAAAUAAAAGCGUCCAAUCAAUAACAGAACAGGAGAACUCUAAACGCUGCAGGAGAGAGUCUCAGGAAUCCCAUCCCGCCGUCCCGGGUGGAAGGCAGGACCGCUGCAGGAGCCGAACUCUCCAAGUUUCGCUCCGGGAUCGCUGUCGGGAUCGACGUGAGCGUUCAUAAUAAAUGGAAUCGUUUUUUUGUUGUUGAGCUUCUUCACGCCAACUGGCCAAUUAAAGCAGCUGCUGGAACCUCGGCUGGAACCGCAAUCAGGAGCAAACUCCGUGGCAAAAGGAAGACAGACGGCGCGGGCUGCUAUGAAAUGCAGCUUUUGUACCGGGACGUGUUUCCAUGGUUACACUAUUUUUCAUGGAGACGUUAUACGUCCUGAAAAUUGGAGGAGAGCCGCGAUAAGAUUAGUAUCUAAUCUCCAAGGAGAUAUAUGGGUUGAUGGACUGUGUCUGAGAGGGAACAAAAUACAACAAAUAAAGCACAAACGGAACUCGAAAAAAACUUUUGCUGCUAAUAAAACAAAUGUCGUCCACUGGUAGAAAGUUCAUACUGAGUUUGCCUGCGGCUCGCAGAAUAGCUGGAGAGAAGGACGGAUUGAUGAAUAGAAGACUAGAUCAUGAAUCCCAAAGGGCAGCCCUGGGCCUCUGAGCUCCAUGCUGCUCUUCACGGUGACGACACGUCAGGGGGAGAGAGGGCCGACUCUAACCAGAGUGGAAACCAACCGGAGCUCUUACAUCGGGAGGAUUGAGACGUACCUACACAAGCUGUGAUAUGAGAGCGGCCAUUUCCUGGUGGGAUCUGCAGUGAGUAUCACUAGUGUCAGUGUUACACGUACACUAACCACCUGUAAUAAUAUCACGUACAGCAACAACCUGUAACACUGUGUACGUAACCCGAGGAACGAGGGUCAGUGUUUGUCCUGUGCAGGACAUCGACAGGGUGAUCUCUUUGAGACACAGAUAGAAAACAACUACUAAUAAAUCUGUUACGACACUC